CUUGCCAUUAACACUUUUUUCUGUCAAAUUAAUCAGGACAAAGUCAGCUUGUUUUACGUGUUUGUCUCAAAUUCAAAGUUAACACGCAUGACGUCAGGCGCGGCGCCAACUCGCAAACGGUAACAUGCUAGAGCUCUUUGCCUGUUGCUGGGGUACUUUAGACAGCUCGGCUUUUGAUUGGUGCAUUCACAAGUAGCGCAAACGUGAUUGGUUGUUGUACUGACACUUGACAAAACCGACCGUUUCCAGAAAUUUCUCCUCUGGUCCCAGCAGGACAUUAUUCUGCCGACAACCAGGACCUGCUAAUGAAGUUAGGUGAGGCAGGUGUAAUGGUGACUGAAGUCGAAGCCCAGAGAUUCAGAGGUAACAGCAGUGUAAUGGUUCUCAAUCUGGCUUGAGGGGAAUCCCUACUGUCUAAACUCUACCUGGAAGCAAGACAAGAGGCUCUCACAGAGGAUCUACCAGAUAUCGACUUCAGAGCAACCCUCAUCUUUCUGCCACACAUCUUCGAGGAGAACAUUAAGUGCUUUAUUACUCUUGGAAAGUUCCUGCCACUCCAUACCCAACUAUCCAGUUGAUGGAUGAAGACUUGAAAAUGGCCUUCACUAGGAGAGCUCCGAACGUUGUGAAAGUGGACGGCAUCGAGUCACAACUCAGCAAUUGACGAGGGGAUAUUUUGGCAAAUCAAGUACAUUUUGAACAUCGAUACCUUGUGGAUUCUUUGUGGUAAAAUGUUGGUUCCUUUAAUGCAUAGAGUGUAAAGGUUGAUUGAGAAUGGACUUUACUAAAACCAGGUGAUGAAAUGGACUACCGAAUAUUUGACACUUAUUCUGUGGAUAACAGUUUUAUGUCACACUUCAACAUAGUAUUUAAAAAUGUACAAAAUUGACAAGAUCAUGUGAAAAUCUUCUGUCAUGAGUGUUAUUUUCAUUUAUGCAGUUUUACGGUUGGCGGAGAAUGGACUUGCUUGUUCUCAUUAGUCUCUAUGGGACAGUUUGUUGGAGUUGCUGUCACAUUCAGGCUCACUGAGCCAAAUCUGUAUAUCCGAUUGAUAUGAGAGUAAGAUGUCUGUGACCAGCAAAAACUUCUCUACAAUCUGCCCCAAAAUGAUUUAUGAAGAGUGAAAGUUGCAAGACCCAGCACAGGUUUUCUGUUUGGUUUUUGUUUGAUUUUUAACAUUUUUUUUUUUUGUUUGUUUUUUUUUAACAGUGGAUUUGGGAAAACCGUGCAAGUGAUCAAAAUACCCAAUUCACCCAAUAUAGUCAGGAGUCAUGUAACCAGUUUAGAGUGUUUGAGCUCCAUUCAUUCCAAUGGGACAUUUUAGAGCUGUCUACCAUCGCUGCAGGGCUUGUAAACUACAGAGAUGAAAAUACAUAAAUAUGUUCAGGAGAGCCUUUACUUUCUGAUGAGCAUACUAUUCUGUUGUUAGGACUCACAGUUUGAGAGAUGCACUCUAUAUUAAAUGACCUCACUCAGCUGAUAGAUAUUAACUGAUAAUGUUCAAAAUAAAAGCCCCACAAAGUUACUAUAUCUAUCUAUCUAUCUAUAUCUAUAUCUAACAGUUAACUAGAAUAAAAGCCAGAGAGGUCACUGUAGCCUAACAGGAAACCCAGAACAAGGCUGUUUUCAAAAUAAAAGCCCAUAUAGAAAAAUGUGGGCAACCAGAUCGUCACUUACUAUUAACUCAUUUUGAUCAACAUUUUUUUUAAAGCUAUAUGCUUAGGGGCUAUUCAGAGUGUUACAUUUUAUGUAUGUAUGUUUUUAUGUAUAUUUUUUCGGGUAAACCUGAGCACCAGGAGAAAACUCUACAUGAGAUUGUGACUUACUAUUAACUAAUUUUGAUCGUUUUUUUUAAAGAUAUAUACUUAGGGGCUAUUCAGAGUGUUAAAUUAGCCUUUUUAUGAAUAUAUUUUCGGGUAAACCUGAGCACCCAGGAGAAAACCCUAAUUUUGAUCAAGGUUUUUUUUAAAGAUAUUAUAUACUACAUGUAUAUAUUUCGGGGAAACCUUAUAACCACAUGUACCUGUUGGAGGGGGUGACAUAGAUGGAGGGGAGGGGGAGAUGGAAGAGGAAGAGGGAGCUACUGAUGUCCAGCCUGAGCUGAACAACCAGCAGCGACCUCCUCAACCACCUUAUUGUCAGCUUCACACUUGUUCUUGUGUAUCCAGCCAACAAACCCAUUCUUCUCAGCCUUCUCCUUCUCUUUAAGUUCCUUCUGCUGCAUUUUGCUUUUUAUCUUCUGCAGCUCCUCCUCUCUGUUGUCGGGAUUAUUCUUGCGAAACAAGAAGCAUUUCCUCUUCCUGUUCAAGUUCAGACAACAGUCCUCCAAUUCCUUCUUUUCAUCAUUCCAUUCCUUCUUGUCGUUCUCCUUCAUCACCAAUCUCUCCUCAAGUUCUCUCUUCUCCUCUGAUAUCUUGGUGAAUUCGGUCUCACUGUGAAGGAGUUCAGCUCGUACAAUGUUCAACAUGUUAUUGGUCUGUUGGAGCUGCUGAGAGAGAGACUCCUUCUCCUUGCAGAGACUCAGGAUGUCAGUGUCCCUCUGGAGGACAUGUUCCUCCAUCUGGUUCACCUUCUCCUUAAAUUCAACCUGCAGAGACUCAAUGUUUCUAGAACUCUCCUCCAGUCUCUCUCUCUCCUGGUCAAACUGCUCUGCUUUCAUCUCCCAGCUUUGUUUUUUCUCAGCUAGGUCAUUUGAGAGCAGCUGGAUUUCAGCAUCCUUCUCCUGAACAAGUCCCUCCAGCUCCGAGACCUGCUCUUGAUGUUGAGUUUGCAGCGUCAUAAAGCCUUGUUGUGUCUCUACAAGGUCUCUGGCGUUCAAGGCUUCCAAGGCAUUGUACUUCACUUCCCAGACUGUUUCAUUCCUCCCCUGGUCUUUGAUGCUACGCUCAAGCUUUCUCUUUUCCUCUGUCAUCUUGGUGACUUUGGACUUCCAGCUCCGUUGUUGUUCGGCUAGGUCUUUUUCAAACUUGUCCUGCAGGGCUUUGUACUUGGCCUCCCAAGCUUUGUCACAUUGGACAAGUUCAGCAUCUUUGCUCUCUAGCUGGAUUCUGGUGGUGGUGACGACCUGAAACAUACGCUCCUUCCUACUGGUGAGCACCUCGAUGUCAGCCCCCAUCUCCUCAAUCUGUGCCUUCAUCUCAGUGAUCUGACCCGGCAGACAUUUCUCAUCCAGGCCUUUGGUGGACUCCAAAGCUCUGUUCUUGUCCUCCAAAGCUUUGUACUUGGCCUCCCAAGCCUUGUUGCUGUUACUUAUUAUCUGAUUCAGAGUGUCAUUUUUCUUGCUGAGCUCUUGGAUCUCAGCGUCCUUCUUAAGGAGUUGAGUCUGCAGCUGGACCACCUUACUCUCAGUAUGAGGCUCUUCAGCACUUGGGCCGGCAACUGUGGCCGUAAACACAAACAUCCCCUUGUUCUGGUCAGAGAGUUUUUUCUUCAAGUCCUCAUACUUGGUGAGAAUCCUCUGGAAUUCCUGCUGGCUUAGGAGCUGAGCUGCUUGCGUCUUUUCCUCCUGGAGUACGUUGAGUGCCUCCAGAAGUUUAAUUCUGUCCUUGAACCUGCGCACCUCGUGAUAGUAAUCGCCUCUUUCUAUCACGCCUCCACUGUUAAACAAUUCCUUUUCCAACGUUUGACUGUGGACCUGUGCCUGAGCAGGGUCCAAGUCAGUUUGAGGAGUGGGAGUGUUUGGGGGAAGUGGGGGACAGCUCUGACGACCACCGUUUGUUGGGUUGUUUCUUAUAUCCAUGGCUCUGUUUGUAGCAGAUGUGGGUUGUAUGAGAUUGUCUGUGUUGUGGACAGAAGGUGACUGUAAUACAACAAGUAUUAGUAUUAAUAUUAGUGAAGAACUAAUAAUAGUGUACUAAUACUGGUAUUACUAGUUAAAUUCUGUAACAGUGUUUUUGUGUGUGAGCAAAAUUUUGUAAGACUUGCUAAUGUCAGUGAAAGAUCUCGAUA